rnacentral:tRNA from 1 species
GCCGAGGUAGCUCAAUGGUAGAGCGCGGCCCUGAAGAGGCCGGCGUUGGGAGUUCGAUUCUCCCCCUCGGCACCG